AGCCCUAAUACGCAGGCGCAAUCAAGAAAGCCUUGUCGGUUUCCCUUUUGAAUGAAGAAAGCGAGGGCCGCUUCCUCGCCGUUGCUCCUUCGCCGCCGGAACCUGACAAGCGCCGCCCCCUCUCUCCAGAUGGAUUCUCCUUCAUCUUUUUCUCUUCCGCCGCCGGAGCGUUACAUCUACAACCCCACACUUCGAUGGAACCCAGAAGUCGAGGAGUACUUUAACGCGGCCUACGGAGCAGACCACUUCCCCCGGAUCUCCAAAUCCCUAACGCACCCUUCUUCCUACUCUUGCAUUCGUGUGAAUACUCUGAAAUCUACAAGUGAGGCAGUUAUAAGGAAGCUAAUUGCCAUUCUCAAUGAGAAAAGGCUUGAAAAUGCUGCUGAAGGAGAUGAGGUACCAAAAGAAGGAAGUUUGUUGGAUUCUUCUAUCCGUAAUGUGAUUGACUCAAGGUUGCUUCAGGAUAAUGAUACUCCUAUUGGAACAUCAGAAAGCCCUUCCAUUUGUAAGUGUCCUUAUCCUGGUCUUGAUAAUGUUGUGUUUGUUAAAGGUUCGGGACCACAUAUGCUUCAGUAUGGUAUUCAACCUUGCCAACCCAUGAAAGAAGUAAUUGUGAGUCGCAAAUGUGCUGAGGCAGUUCUUCGUGGAGCACAGGUAUAUGUCCCUGGUGUUCUGGCUUGCAGUGCACAUGUUGAAAAAGGGGAUGUAAUUGCAGUCUCAGUAGCUGUUGAGCAGCGUAUGUCUGAUGGUGGAUGGGGUGUUGGUUUUACACGUGGUACUGUCCUACAAGGGUUGGAAUCAGAUCCCCAUUAUCAUGAAAGAAAUGGCCUGUAUAUUGGUCAAGGUACUACUUCAUUGUCAAGGGCUUCUAUGUUCCGUGUUUCUGAAGGGAUUGCUGUGGAGAUGACUAACAGGGUAUACAAGCUUCCAUCCUUUUAUGAUGUACUUGAGGGCGAAAUCUUUCUUCAAAACUUGCCCAGCAUCGUUACAGCUUAUGUCCUAGAUCCCAGAGAAGGUGAAAGAAUUUUGGAUAUGUGUGCUGCUCCUGGAGGGAAAACGACUGCGAUUGCAAUUCUUAUGAGGGACAACGGAGAGGUUGUUGCUACUGAUAGAUCUCAUAAUAAGGUAAUGGAUGUUUUGAAAUUGGCUGCUGAGAUGGAUUUAACUUGUAUAAAGGCAUAUAAGCUAGAUGCACUUAAAUCUGUGCAAAGGACUAAUGGAAUGUUGUAUUCUGAGAAAACAGAUUCCAACAAUGAUGAACCAGACAUUGCAGCAGUAAAUUCAUGCUUAUCUAGUUUUUCUACAGAUGUUAAGAUCAACAUUGAGAUGGAAAAAUGCAGCAUCAAUGCUACACCAUCAGAAACAGUCAGUAAUGGAAAGACAGAUGGAAGACAUCUCAGCAAUGCUGCCAAAAGGAAGAAUGCACCACGACAGAGAAAUGGACCAGGAAGAAAUCAGUCCUUGGGUGGUAGGGUGGAAACUUCAAAAGGCUUCAUGCCUAACAGUUUUGAUCGUGUUCUUCUUGACGCUCCAUGUUCUGCCCUGGGCUUGAGACCUCGACUGUUUGCUGGGGAGGAGACCAUGGAAUCUUUAAGAAAUCAUGGAAAGUAUCAGAGGAGGAUGUUUGACCAAGCUGUACAACUUGUUCGUCCUGGAGGAGUGAUAGUAUAUUCUACGUGUACGAUAAACCCAGGGGAGAAUGAAGCUUUGGUUCGAUAUGCUCUAGAUAAAUACAAAUUUCUCUCUCUGGCAUCACAACACCCAAAAAUUGGAGGACCUGGUAUAGUUGGCCGUUGUGAUCUGUUUGGUGGGAAAUAUGUUGAGGAAUGGCUAACAGAAAACGAAUCUGAACUUGUCCAGAGGUUCGAUCCAUCAUCUUCGCUCGAUACCAUUGGUUUCUUUAUCGCAAAAUUUGUUGUUGGUGAGAAAGACUUCUAAGGAACAAUCACCCGUGUGUAAGAUGUGCAGCAUGGGCAUCCACACCAAUGGAUAAGACCAGUGCAGCUUGCACAACUUCUGUGAUAACAAAAAAGAGUUUAUUAUAUUUGGUCAUCGGAUCAAGUUGACUUGUAAGUUAAAUCUGAGAUAAUUUUGCUGGGAAACUCGAUGCCAGGAAGGUCAACUCACCAGAUAUACCAGACGUCUAUGCACAGAUUCUCUUCUAUUACGGUCUUGUGUACCAUGUCAGUAUGAGACGCUAGUGCACCACUGCAACAGAACCAAUGCUUGAAAUCUUUCAUUUUGCUCCGACUUCUAUCUUUGUUCGCCGCACAGGAUGAGUUUGAUCUAUAAAAACGCUAUCCUUGCCGCAGCUGAAGCUCAAAACAUGGUAUUCAUUCUCUCAUCAACUCAUUUGUCAUCUGGAUGUCUCACAGCUGCGGAGGGAUCAUGUGCAUUACGGCAGCUUGAAACCAGGAAGAAUAGUAUAUUCUGAAGACAGUUUCCAACGAAGCAUGUGUAUCAUCUUCAAUUAAAAGCAGCUUUAAGCAAAUCGUUGCAGACAACUUAUGGGUUCCUCCUUCCGAGAACAUCGGUUGUCACUA